AUAGGGGAGCCGGAGGGAAACCGAGUCUUAAUUGGGCGUUAAGUUGCAGGGUAUAGACCCGAAACCCGGUGAUCUAGCCAUGGGCAGGUUGAAGGUUGGGUAACACUAACUGGAGGACCGAACCGACUAAUGUUGAAAAAUUAGCGGAUGACCUGUGGCUGGGGGUGAAAGGCCAAUCAAACCGGGAGAUAGCUGGUUCUCCCCGAAAGCUAUUUAGGUAGCGCCUCGUGAAUUCAUCUCCGGGGGUAGAGCACUGUUUCGGCUAGGGGGCCAUCCCGGCUUACCAACCCGAUGCAAACUGCGAAUACCGGAGAAUGUUAUCACGGGAGACACACGGCGGGUGCUAACGUCCGUCGUGAAGAGGGAAACAACCCAGACCGCCAGCUAAGGUCCCAAAGUCAUGGUUAAGUGGGAAACGAUGUGGGAAGGCCCAGACAGCCAGGAUGUUGGCUUAGAAGCAGCCAUCAUUUAAAGAAAGCGUAAUAGCUCACUGGUCGAGUCGGCCUGCGCGGAAGAUGUAACGGGGCUAAACCAUGCACCGAAGCUGCGGCAGCGACGCUUAUGCGUUGUUGGGUAGGGGAGCGUUCUGUAAGCCUGUGAAGGUGUGUCGUGAGGCAUGCUGGAGGUAUCAGAAGUGCGAAUGCUGACAUAAGUAACGAUAAAGCGGGUGAAAAGCCCGCUCGCCGGAAGACCAAGGGUUCCUGUCCAACGUUAAUCGGGGCAGGGUGAGUCGACCCCUAAGGCGAGGCCGAAAGGCGUAGUCGAUGGGAAACGGGUUAAUAUUCCCGUACUUGGUGUUACUGCGAAGGGGGGACGGAGAAGGCUAUGUUGGCCGGGCGACGGUUGUCCCGGUUUAAGCGUGUAGGUGUGUGUUCCAGGUAAAUCCGGUUCACUUUAACACUGAGGCGUGAUGACGAGGCACUACGGUGCUGAAGUAACAAAUGCCCUGCUUCCAGGAAAAGCCUCUAAGCAUCAGGUAACAUCAAAUCGUACCCCAAACCGACACAGGUGGUCAGGUAGAGAAUACCAAGGCGCUUGAGAGAACUCGGGUGAAGGAACUAGGCAAAAUGGUGCCGUAACUUCGGGAGAAGGCACGCUGACACGUAGGUGAAGUGAUUUACUCACGGAGCUGAA
rnacentral:rRNA from 1 species